AUUAAUUCAGUCAUCAAAGAUACUCCAAGUGAGUGUUACGAUUUGUAAUAUGGAUUUCAAAGCUGCAGUCUGUUGAUGUUCAGACAGUUUAAGAGGAUUUGCUCAAUAAGCAGAGAUUUGUCUUGCAACAAGACUGUCUGGGCCACCUACAGAAGAAAGCAAGUUACACUCCUCAGAUUUGCCUUUGAAGAAUUCUAGCAACUGGCUGUCUCACACCUACCCUUGCACAUGCGUUGCUGGUUUCGUUCAGCUACAUGAUCCCUUUGCUGUAACUAGGAUGGUCUCCUCACCACCACCGGCACCAGUCUGCCUGAUUCUGAUUUUUCAUGCCAAAUGAUGUGGGAUCUGGAAAGAUGGGCGAAUAGGAAUAGCUCUGGUCUACAGCUCCCAGCAAAACCAACACAGAAGGAACUGCCAUACUUUUUUACACAGCAGCUGCACCAUUUUACAUUCCCACCAGCAAUGCACAACGGUUCUGAUUUCUCUAUGUCUUGUGAUUACUGCUGAAAGCAUCCUGAGUGACACAAACUUGAAGCAUGCAAGAGGACUAAAUAACUUCCAAAGUCACACAUAUUGCAUGUCAAGAGCCAGCUUCAAACUCAAGUCCCUGUGACCAGAGGUCGAUGCUCUAAACACAUUUCUGCAUGACCUGCUUGUGGCAGCCUGGAGAAAUUCUACAUAAAUCUUCUCAGAGCCAGUGGAGGAGGUUCACACUCACAUCAGGAAGAGCCUGAGGAUAAAGGGGAGCACAACAUGUGUUUUGCAAAUCAGUAAAUCAAUCAACUAAUAUUUAUGGACUAUUAAAUUUGAGUGGAGCUAUACAUUUGCAAAGACAAAGGAAACAGUUCCAGAGGCUGCGAGGUCUGAGAUCAAGGAUCUGACACCUGGUGAGGGCCUUUUUGCUGCAUCAUUUCACAUAGAGACAAAAAGAUUCUCACCUGUAAGCUUGAAUUAUGUCUACAUCAUGCUUGGGAAAUGUCCAUAUAUUCUAAGCUUGAAACUGCAGUGAUGAGGACGUCACCACUUCCAGAGAGAACACUUUACUACCAGGCAACUUGAGUACAAUAGGCAGCCACAAAUAUCAUCCUUGCUAGCCAGGAAUGACAAGGAGCAAGCCACAUGAGGAGUCAGAAAAGAUUAUUCCAGGCAGGGCUGAGAUCUGCAUUAUGGUCUGGAGGCUGCCCCAGUCUCUCCUUUACCUCCAUAUUUUUCUCACAGUUCUGGAGACUUUAAGACCAAGAUCAAGAUGCUGGCAAGGACUUUUCUUCAUCAUGUGAAGAAGCCAACACAGACAUCAACUCUUGCAGAAAUAUUUACAUUCCAGGAUGGGUGGAAUAUUCAUCCUCUAAGACACUCUCCUUACUGCUCAUUUCACUUCUGGGUACAGUAAAUAUCAUUAUUUUUUGGUUUUUUAAUAUAUCUGUCUCAUAAUAUUGUUCAUUCUUAAAGGAUAACAACCAUAUCUUGUCCAUCUUCAUAACCUUGAAGAAUAUUAUAGUACUUUGUUAAUAGAUAACAUUCAAUAAAUAUUUGUGGAAGAAAUUUAAUGAUUGGAUAAUUAUAGUCAAAUAUAUUGAGAAGAAACAGGGUAAAGAUAUUGAUUAA
rnacentral:lncRNA from 10 species